rnacentral:lncRNA from 1 species
CUCAGAGGGCUUUGGGGCUGUUUGAACAGUCACGGUUAAAUAAGAAGCACAGGAUGUCUGCAGAAGAGCAUCAGAUAACCUUAGGUAGAUCUUACCUGGAAUUGCAGAGGGGCGGGUAUGUCAGGCAUGCUGAGAUAAGUGGCAGUUGUGGUUUGAAGUGACACUGAAUCCUCUAUGUUUCUCUCCCUCUGUGCAGUCCAUUGAUGACCUGAACAAAUGGGCCCUGUUUCUUGUCUCUCCCUUUAUACUUGAAGCAGAACACAUAGCAUUUGUGACAGAGAGCAUUUGGGUACAAGGUGACAGUUUACAGAGACCAUCUUCUGAAACAAGCAAAUUUGAAGUGUCCUGUUUGCUUUUAACCGCUGGAAAGCAGACCCCCCCCACCCCCGGACGAAGUAUCAGUGACAGUGCGGCUUCACUUUGAUCAGAGCACCCAGCGCUACCUGAAGGAGUUCGCAUGGUCUGUGGCUCAGGGACUGCGUUCCUAGAGACAGGAAGCGCACUUAGGUGAGGUCACAGUUGCAGGCUGAGAAACUUGAUCAGGGAUGUGUGUGU